CCUACGGGAGGCAGCAGUGGGGAAUAUUGGACAAUGGGGGCAACCCUGAUCCAGCCAUGCCGCGUGUGUGAAGAAGGCCCUCGGGUUGUAAAGCACUUUCAGUGAGGAAGAACGCCUGGUGGUUAAUACCCAUCAGGAAAGACAUCACUCACAGAAGAAGCACCGGCUAACUCCGUGCCAGCAGCCGCGGUAAUACGGAGGGUGCGAGCGUUAAUCGGAAUUACUGGGCGUAAAGCGCGCGUAGGUGGCUUGAUAAGCCGGUUGUGAAAGCCCCGGGCUCAACCUGGGAACGGCAUCCGGAACUGUCAAGCUAGAGUGCAGGAGAGGAAGGUAGAAUUCCCGGUGUAGCGGUGAAAUGCGUAGAGAUCGGGAGGAAUACCAGUGGCGAAGGGGGCCUUCUGGACUGACACUGACACUGAGGUGCGAAAGCGUGGGUAGCAAACAGGAUUAGAUACCCUUGUAGUC
rnacentral:rRNA from 1 species